rnacentral:rRNA from 1 species
GAUGAACGCUGGCGGCGUGCUUAAUACAUGCAAGUCGAACGGAGAAUUGUAGCAAUAUAGUUCUCAGUGGCGAACGGGUGAGUAACACGUUGGUGACCUGCCCCGAAGAGUGGGAUAACAGUCCGAAAGGAUUGCUAAUACCGCAUGUGGUCAUUGGAAUUGGAAACCGAUGAUUAAAGGAGAAAUUCGCUUCGGGAGGGACCUGCGUCCCAUCAGCUAGUUGGAGAGGUAACGGCUCACCAAGGCGACGACGGGUAAGGGACCUGAGAGGGUGGUCCCUCACAAUGGCACUGAAACACGGGCCAUACACCUACGGGUGGCAGCAGUAGGGAAUAUUGGGCAAUGGGCGCAAGCCUGACCCAGCAACGCCGCGUGCACGAUGAAGGCCUUCGGGUCGUAAAGUGCUUUUUAGGGAGAUGAGCAAGGACAGUAUCCCAAGAAUAAGUCUCGGCUAACUACGUGCCAGCAGCCGCCGUAAUAC